UGCAGUCGAGCGGAGUGAUGGUGCUUGCACUAUCACUUAGCGGCGGACGGGUGAGUAAUGCUUAGGAAUCUGCCUAUUAGUGGGGGACAACAUUCCGAAAGGAAUGCUAAUACCGCAUACGUCCUACGGGAGAAAGCAGGGGACCUUCGGGCCUUGCGCUAAUAGAUGAGCCUAAGUCGGAUUAGCUAGUUGGUGGGGUAAAGGCCUACCAAGGCGACGAUCUGUAGCGGGUCUGAGAGGAUGAUCCGCCACACUGGGACUGAGACACGGCCCAGACUCCUACGGGAGGCAGCAGUGGGGAAUAUUGGACAAUGGGGGGAACCCUGAUCCAGCCAUGCCGCGUGUGUGAAGAAGGCCUUUUGGUUGUAAAGCACUUUAAGCGAGGAGGAGGCUACUAGUAUUAAUACUACUGGAUAGUGGACGUUACUCGCAGAAUAAGCACCGGCUAACUCUGUGCCAGCAGCCGCGGUAAUACAGAGGGUGCGAGCGUUAAUCGGAUUUACUGGGCGUAAAGCGUGCGUAGGCGGCUGAUUAAGUCGGAUGUGAAAUCCCUGAGCUUAACUUAGGAAUUGCAUUCGAUACUGGUCAGCUAGAGUAUGGGAGAGGAUGGUAGAAUUCCAGGUGUAGCGGUGAAAUGCGUAGAGAUCUGGAGGAAUACCGAUGGCGAAGGCAGCCAUCUGGCCUAAUACUGACGCUGAGGUACGAAAGCAUGGGGAGCAAACAGGAUUAGAUACCCUGGUAGUCCAUGCCGUAAACGAUGUCUACUAGCCGUUGGGGCCUUUGAGGCUUUAGUGGCGCAGCUAACGCGAUAAGUAGACCGCCUGGGGAGUACGGUCGCAAGACUA
rnacentral:rRNA from 1 species